rnacentral:lncRNA from 1 species
GUGGAGCACGUGUCUCUUUUGUAUGUUGAGGCAUCUUUUGGGUAUAUGCCCAAGAGAGGUAUAGCUGGAUCCUCAGGCAGUUCAAUGUCCAAUUUUCUGAGGAACCUCCAGACUGAUUUCCAGAAUGGUUUUACCAGUCUGCAAUCCCACCAACAAUGGAGGAGUGUUCCUCUUUCUCCACAUCCUCGCCAGCAUCUGCUGUCACCUGAGUUUUUGAUCUUAGCCAAUCGCACUGGUGUGAGGUGAAAUCUCAGGGUUGUUUUAUAAAGUUGAAUACAUUGAUUAAUACAUUGUGAACUAGCUGUGAAUCAGAAAAGAAUAGAAACUCACCAUCUUUGCUGUAGACAGACUGUUGAUGCUAAUGUACUUGCCUGUAAAGACUUCAUGAGGAGAAGGUGAACAAUACUGUAAAGGGGGCUAAUAGCCACAACUGUUUGAAGAUUCUAUAUACAACUUCUUUGCUGAAAUUCUUUGAUUUAAUCUGAACAUGAAAUUUAAGGUAUUUUGCCCCAUUUGAGUUGAGUUCAGAAAGCCGGACUUCUAUAAAUCCCAGCUUGGCAAGGAGCUCUGGAUUUUGUAGCUAUAUGGAUGGUAUUUGAUGUGAGAUAUGAAUUUACAUAGGGAGAAAAUGCAGACUGGGUUAAGAAAGGAAUAAGAAAAA